UUCCGCCGGGAGUGGAGCCGUAACUGGCCGUUCCUUGUCGGUUUCGCCAUCACUGGCACCGUCAUCACCAAGAUGUCACUCGCCCUCACUGAGGAGGAUGCAAAGAACUCUAAAUUCGCGCAGAGGCACAAACAUUGAGUUGAGGCAAUGCACAUUUGCUGGAUUAAGGCUUUUCUGUUCCAAUAGCACUUUCAUUUCCUACUGCCCCGGUUUUCUUUUGUUUCUAUAAGUCUCGGAUAGCUUAUAGAUUGCAUAAAGCGGCCAUUGAAUCUUUUCGGUGGCCAAACUUAUAAUUUCUCUGCUGAUUUGACUGUGAGAGAUUCGAAAACUCUCAACUAUUGAUUGAAAAGGAGUAAGAUUGUUUAUACAUAUGUUUCAACUUCCCUCAGGGAAUGCUGCAGAAAUGCAGGUGAUUUGUUGGAAUUUUUCUUAUGUUCAAAACAUGUCCUUCAAAGGUAAUAAGGUAUUAUAAUGUUGUAUGUUCUCCAUUUUAGGGCACAAAGCCAACUGUUUUGAGAAGUUUAUACAACACAAAAAGAAAUGGAAGAGAAGUUGUGUAAUUCA